GGCCUCGUGGCUCAGUUGGCAUGCAGAGCAUUGGACUGGUAUCCCAAAGGUCGCGGGUUCGAUUCCCACCGUGGUCA